UACGUAGGUGGCAAGCGUUGUCCGGAAUUAUUGGGCGUAAAGCGCGCGCAGGCGGUCCUUUAAGUCUGAUGUGAAAGCCCACGGCUCAACCGUGGAGGGUCAUUGGAAACUGGGGGACUUGAGUGCAGGAGAGAAGAGUGGAAUUCCACGUGUAGCGGUGAAAUUCGUAGAUAUUGGGAAGAACACCGGUGGCGAAGGCGGCUCACUGGCUCGUAACUGACGCUCAGGCGCGACAGCGUGGGGAUCAAACAGG
rnacentral:rRNA from 1 species